rnacentral:lncRNA from 1 species
CUCAGACGGGACUUCGACAGGCAUCGUCGGCGCCGACAGUGCGAUGACAGGCUUUGCCUCCGCCCCAGCCGGCUCGCUCGGUGGAGCUACUUGAGGCCUCUUGGGAGGCCGCGAUGGUCCGGCCACUUGUGCCGGCCUCUUCCGCACAGCGUACUGCCGGACGUCGGUCGCCGUCAAUCUCGCCUUCGGUGGCAUAUCUGCAAACGGCGACAGAUGAUCAGCACCAAAAAAGAAAGGAAAGAAAAA